GGUUUUCUUCGGACACUCUUCAAGGUGCUGCAUGGUUGUCGUCAGCUCGUGCCGUGAGGUGUCGGUUAAGUCCCAUACGAAGCGCAACCCUUACCGUUAGUUACCAUCAGGUUAAGCUGGGGACUCUAGCGGGACUGCCACCGUAAGGUGAGAGGAAGGUGGGGAUGACGUCAAAUCAGCACGGCCCUUAUGUCCAGGGCUACACACGUGUUACAAUGGCCAGUACAAAGGGCAGCUACCGGGUGACCGGAUGCUAAUCUCUAAAGCUGGUCUCAGUUCGGAUCGAAGUCUGCAACCCGACUUCGUGAAGCUGGAUUCGCUAGUAAUCGCGCAUCAGCCAUGGCGCGGUGAAUACGUUCCCGGGCCUU
rnacentral:rRNA from 1 species